CGUCAACAGAAUGAACCACAUCAGGUGCACGGCGUCAGGUUAGUCCUCCUCCUGAUCUCCUCCAUCGCUGAAAAAUCCAGUCCUCCUCAAUCUCCCCCUCCUCCCUCUCCUCUGCGCCCGCAUCUGUCCGGGAUCAAACCCCCACGAGCUCCUCCUCGGUGCGCGGCUCUCUCGAUCCCGAUCCAUUCAGAGGGGCUGCCCCUUCUCUCCUCCGCUCGCCGCUUGGCCGUAGAAAAGAAGUCAGGGCAGGGGACAUGCCGCCGCCAGUGGCAUUUUCCCAUCGCGCCUCGAUUUGGCCGCCUCGGCGGAGGCGCUCGCGGCCUGGAGGGUCGGCGCAGCGCCUCACCUUGGCCUGGAGGCUGGCCGCCAUGGAGCUCGCCUCGGCCUUGAACUGGUGCUCGACGGGGCCUCCCAGCCCGGUUCAUGGCCGCAGCCGUCUUGGCUGUGCACGCCGGUGUCGUGACGUGGUGGCCAGGCACUGGUUACUGCCUCACCCGACCCCAGCGUGCCCGAGAUGCCUGCAGACCUCUCCACCAUCUCUGCUCCUGGUUCGCUCUGUUUCCUCCUGGACGCCAAAGGGGGUCAUGAGCAUUAGAUUGGUUUUUGAACAUUAGAUCCAUUAGAUCCAUUAACUGAAAGAUAUAGACGUACUCUGUAUGUACAAAGCUAGCUAGCUAGCUAAUACAAGCAGCUUAAUUGAUUGUUGUAUGAGCAGCUUUGCCGCUGCAUAUCCAGGUUUAGUCAUCCUCUGCAUUGCAUUUGAUUCAGAUUACCAUAAGAUGAUUUUUAAUAGAUAUUUGGUCUUACACGAGUCACAUUGGAUUUUUUCCCUAUAGAUUCAGAGUAGUAUUUUCAUGAAACUAUCACUGAUACUUUGCCUUUCAUGUCCAUUCACAUAUGUCUGGUUUACCUACACAAGGGCACAAUGAUGAAUUUUACGGAGGAUGCUCCGGUAAAGAAAGGCUCUGUUCUCUUAACAAGGAUGGAAAGUAUAACGGCAUACAAAAACCAACGUGGACAACCCAAAUCUGGAACUCCAGAACAAUCUGACAUUCUAGUAUCUGCUAAUGACAUGUGUUCCCUUGCUGAAUGGCCAUCCCAUGCUCGCCGCAACCGUGCGCUACUACAGGAUGAAGCUGGUGGACAGAAGAAGAAAGGGCGAGGUGUUCUAAAAGGUUUUAAAGCAUCUAAGAAGCGUUUUGCCAAUGGAUCUGCAAAGCUAAAUAUUACAUUCUCUGAAAAAUUGGGUGGUACAGUAGGAAUGAACUAUCGUUCGUUCAAGGAUGACGUGGUAGUCAUAAUGAAAAGAAAGUUACCACUCAUUGGAGUGAGGACGUGGUCGGACAUUCACCCUACCAUUCAUCGACUCAUUGUUGCAGAUAUGAUAGACAGAUGGGACCUAGAAGAUACACCAGAAACAGAAGAAAAAGUUCUCAAAAUUGCGAAAGAGAGAUAUAGAGGCUGGCGAUCAACUCUAAGCUCCACUUACAAGGCAUACAAAACAGAUGCAGCUAGAUUGGCUAAUCUGCCAGAAGAUUUACAACCAGAAGAGUGGGAAUGGAUGAUUGAGUACUUUGGCACUGAUUCAAAAUUUCAGGAACACAGCCAAAUGAACGCCGAUAACCGUAAGAAACAGAAGACAAAACACAUAAUGGGAUCAAAAUCUUACUCGCAAGUUAGUUUUGAGAAGAGAAACUUGGAAACUGGAGAAGAGCCAGAUUGUAUUGCUCUAUGGGAACUCACCCACACAAACGAUGGAACAUGGUCUAACACAGAUUCCCAGAAAGUUUACGACAAAGCACUUGAAGAGGUUAAAAACAAACAAGCUGAAACUGAAGGUCCACUUUCAAGUGAGCAGAAAAACAAUAUUUUCCAGACCGCUUGCAAAGACACUCUGGAAUGCAAGUCAUCGCAGCCUCGUGGGUACGGAUACAUGGCCAAAACUUCAACUAGUUCUGAAAAGUUCCGUAUCCAGAUUGAAGAGCAAGCUCGUGCUACAGCAGCCACCCAGGAGCGAAACUCUCAGCUCAGCCAGCAGGUCAAUGACUUAGAAGAUCAACUACAAGCUGAACGUGCUAACACACAAGAGAGGAUUAACUUGGAGCGUGCUGAGAGAGAACAACUUGAGGAGAGGUUAAAAGAAGAGCGUGCUGAAAGGGAAAGAUUGUUGCAAGAGGAGCGAACAUCAAGGCUGGAAUUGGAAAAAAACAUGAUGGCAAAGUUUGUAGAAUUGAGCAAACAGAUGGGAAUCCAACAGGUGAUGGUGAUUACAGUCAUAUGCUUCCGACCUUGUGCCUACGAAGAGGGUUGACAAAGAAAAUAGUAAUCCAAACUUGCAAAAUAUUCUUUCACAGACAUCUAGUCCUAAUAAGACUCCAGGUUCAAGGCCGACUGCUAUUUCUUCAAAUGCGCUCAUACAAGCUGCAACAAGGCAAUCUCGAAUGUUUAAAGCAAUGGAUCCAAAGAACUAGCUGGACUGGACUCUAGAUCACGGGCAGUUUAGUCUUCGAAGUUAAUUAGGAUGGCUAAAUUACAUUUCAGUUUUAUUUGAUGGAUAUUUUCUAUCAGAAUUAUGAAUUGUAUGAAUCUACAUAUUAUACGUAUGGUUUUGAAUAUUGUAAUUGAAAGCUUGUAUUUUUUUACGGUUGCAAUAGACUAUUACCACAACCCA